UGAUGUGAGGGUGAUCUGGCUAUGACAUCUGUCACCCCAUUGAUCGCCAGGUUGAUUCGGCUGAUCUGGCUAGCUAGGUGGGUGUCCCCUUCCUCCCUCAGUGCUUCAUGUGCGUCCCUCCCGAAGCUGCGUGCUUGGUGGAAGAGGAUAACGUCCCAGGUAUAAAAGGAGUGUACCAAAGUCUCCAGUCUUCGGUCCCGGGUAUACUAUAUCUGCACUCCCCUGCUAGAACCUCCAAACAAGCUCAAGGUCCAUUUGUAGGAGAACAUAGGGUAGUCAAGCUACAGGAAUAGUGAAAUAA
rnacentral:snRNA from 1 species